UGUAUAUGAUGAAAAAAUUGUCCCUGAUAAUGGCUGAGGGUAAAAACUGAUUUAAUGAGCCUGAUGC